GGAAGCUGCUAGAGCUUCUUGCAAGGAAAAGAGCCUGGUUACAGUGUCCAGCUGAAGACUUAUUACUGGCUGCCGAGAACCCCAUUAUAUGGCUUGUAGAAAUCAAAUAAAGUCUUGAGAGGAGGCCAGAAAGGUGCCCUUCCUUCCAACGAGGGACCUGAGAACUUCUUCUACCAUCUAGGUAUGAAGCCACCAUGGACAACACAGCUCAAAAUCUCUAUGCUGGAUCUUCUUUGCGUCAAAUGAAACUCUGGAGCUGGCAGGCAAGAGCCAUCCCGGCCCACACCCAGGCCCCUGCACGCCGCCAUCCUUACUCACAGCUCCUGUGGGGUUUUCCAAGACUGAGAAGAUUCAAAACACACUCUUUGAGGCAAAAUGGCCCCAGGAGGAGAUUCAUGCUAACAUAACAAAGUCUGACAAGGAGUACAGCUCAUUCCGACCCCUCACCCAUAUCAGGAUGCAU